CUAGCGACUUCAGAGUUUGAUCCUGGCUCAGGAUGAACGCUAGCUACAGGCUUAACACAUGCAAGUCGAACGGGGUUUUGAGCUUCGGUUCAAAACUUAGUGGCAAACGGGUGAGUAACACGUAUCCAACCUGUCCCUUACUCGGGUAUAGCCUUUCGAAAGGAAGAGUAAUCCCCGAUAUUAUGUUAUAUGCGCAUGCAUAUUUCAUGAAAGAUUUAUUGGUAAGGGUUGGGGAUGCGUUCCAUUAGAUAGUCGGUGAGGUAACGGCUCACCGAGUCUAUGAUGGAUAGGGGUUCUGAGAGGAAGGUCCCCCACAUUGGAACUGCGACACGGUCCAA
rnacentral:rRNA from 1 species